rnacentral:rRNA from 1 species
AGUGAACGUUGGCGGCGUGGAUUAGGCAUGCAAGUCGAGCGAUCGUAGCAAUACGGGAGCGGCAAACGGGGUAGGAAUACAUCGGAACGUACCUUUUGGUUGAGAAUAGCGUUGGGAAACUGACGGUAAUACUCAAUAAAGUCGAGAGACCAAAGGUUUACUGCCGGAAGAGCGGCCGAUGCGAUAUUAGGUAGUUGGUGGGGUAAUGGCCUACCAAGCCUGAGAUGUCUAGGGGGGUGUGAGAGCAUGGCCCCCACCACUGGGACUGAGAUACUGCCCAGACACCUACGGGUGGCUGCAGUCGAGGAUCUUCGUCAAUGGGCGAAAGCCUGAACGAGCGACGCCGCGUGCGGGAUGAAGGCCCUUGGGUUGUAAACCGCUGUCAGGGGGGAUGAAACCGUAAGGUUGACAGAGCCCCAGAGGAAGCACGGGCUAAGUUCGUG